rnacentral:rRNA from 1 species
CCAGCAGCUGCGGUAAUUCCAGCUCCAAUAGCGUAUAUUAAAGUUGUUGCAGUUAAAAAGCUCGUAGUUGGAUUUCUGGCGGGAGCAGCCAGUCCUGCCUCUUGCGAGGUUGUGCACUAGCGCUGUAUCCGGCCAUCCUUGUGGAGAACGUUUCUGGCAUUAAGUUGUUGGUCUCGGGAUCUGCAUCGUUUACUGUGAAAAAAUUAGAGUAUUUAAAGCAGGCAUUUGCUUGAAUACAUUAGCAUGGAAUAAUAAGAUAGGACUUUGGUACUAUUUUGUUGGUUUGCGCACCAAGGUAAUGAUUAAUAGGGAUAGUUGGGGGCAUUAGUACUUAACUGUCAGAGGUGAAAUUCUCGGAUUUGUUAAAGACUAACUUAUGCGAAAGCAUUUGCCAAGGAUGUUUUCAUCGAUCAAGAACGAAAGU